rnacentral:rRNA from 1 species
UGAAUACGAGACGCUACGGCGUUGAAGCAGUCUAUGUCAUACUUCCAAGAAAAGCUCGCAAUGUCAUAAACAAAUAAUGCCUGUACCAUAACCGACACAGGUGGGUAGGUAGAGUAUACUAAGGGGCGCGAGAUAACUCUCUCUAAGGAACUCGGCAAAAUGACUCCGUAACUUCGGGAGAAGGAGUGCCUUAUUUAUAAGGUUGCAAUAACAAGAUCCAAGCAACUGUUUACCAAAAACACAGGUCUCCGCUAAGUCGUAAGACGAUGUAUGGGGGCUGACGCCUGCCCAGUGCCAGAAGGUUAAAGAAGUUGGUUAGCAUUCGCGAAGCUGAUAACUGAAGCCCUGGUGAACGGCGGCCGUAACGAUAACGGUCCUAAGGUAGCGAAAUUCCUUGUCGGGUAAGUUCCGACCCGCACGAAAGGCGUAAUGAUUUGGAUACUGUCUCGGAGAGAGGCUCGGUGAAAUAGACUUGUCUGUGAAGAUGCGGACUACCUGCACCUGGACAGAAAGACCCUAUGAAGCUUUACUGUAACUUGAAAUUGAAAUUGGACUUUAUUUGCGCAGUAUAGGUGGGAGGCGUUGAAAAUACUCUUGCGGGAGUAUUGGAGCCAUCAGUGAGGUACCACUCUUGUAAUGUUAGAUUUCUAACUUUGUAUCAUUAUCUGGUCAAAGAACAGUUUCAGGCGGGCAGUUUGACUGGGGCGGUCGCCUCCCAAACGGUAACGGAGGCGUACAAAGGUUUCCUCUGAACGGGUAGAAAUCGUAUCUAGAGUGUAAAGGCAUAAGGAAGCUUGACUGUGAGACCUACAAGUCGAGCGGGGACGAAAGUCGGUCUUAGUGAUCUGACGGUGCUGAGUGGAAAGGCCGUCACUCAACGGAUAAAAGUUACUCUAGGAUAACAGGCUGAUCUCCCCCAAGAGUUCACAUCGACGGGGAGGUUUGGCACCUCGAUGUCGGCUCAUCGCAUCCUGGGGCGGUAGUACGUCCCAAGGGUUGGGCUGUUCGCCCAUGAAAGCGGUACGCGAGCUGGGUUCGGAACGUCGUGAGACAGUUCGGUCCAUAUCCGGUGUAGGCGUUAGAAUAUUGAGAGGAGCCUUCUUUAGUACGAGAGGACCGAGAAGGACAUACCUCUGGUGUACCAGUUAUCGUGCCAACGGUAAACGCUGGGUAGCUAUGUAUGGAGAGGAUAACCGCUGAAAGCAUCUAAGUGGGAAGCCCACCUCAAGAUAAG